rnacentral:rRNA from 1 species
UACGAAGGGGGCUAGCGUUGCUCGGAAUCACUGGGCGUAAAGGGCGCGUAGGCGGCCUGCUAAGUCGAACGUGAAAUCCCCGGGCUCAACCCGGGAACUGCGUCCGAUACUGGCAGGCUUGAAUCCGGGAGAGGGAUGCGGAAUUCCAGGUGUAGCGGUGAAAUGCGUAGAUAUCUGGAGGAACACCGGUGGCGAAGGCGGCAUCCUGGACCGGCAUUGACGCUGAGGCGCGAAAGCGUGGGGAGCGAUCCGG